rnacentral:ncRNA from 1 species
GCGCCCGGUAGCAUCACCGGUACUCGCGGCAGUCGGAGAGGAAACCGGUGCGAAUCCGGUACGGUCGCGCCACUGUGAGCCCAUCGGGCAAGUCAGACACUCUCCGCCUGCCCUGACCGACU